rnacentral:rRNA from 1 species
UUUGGUGGUCAUAGCACGAGCAAAACACCCGGCUCCAUCCCGAACCCGGCCGUUAAGUGCCGUAGCGCCGAUGGUACUGCGUCCUAAGACGUGGGAGAGUAGGUCACCGCCAAAC